GCAUUCUUCCAAAGUCCCCAGCAAUGAUAAUACAUUGUCAGAUAUAACCUUGUUGGCCAAUAGCUUGUAGAAAGCAGACAGGGCCGUAGCAACCUAGCCAGACACGUGCAACGUGCCGAAUCAGCCCACUGCAGACAGGCAGGUCUGCGGACAGACGCCGUAGCAACAUCACCAGAUGGACGCAACGCGCCCAAUCAGCCCGCGCCCCAGCAGCAAUCCACUGAAUAUCGCCCCUCUCCUCUGUACAGCCACCUAGUUCCACACUACAAAGAUGCAGAGGACACCGGACCACCGGACCACUGUACUGGAAUUUACAGAGCCACUUGGACAAGCAUGCAAAGACAGAAGUGUUGGGA
rnacentral:lncRNA from 1 species